GACCGUGUAGCUCAGUUGGCAGAGCAUUGGGCUAGUAUCCCAGAGGUCGUAGGUUUGAUUCCCACCGUGGCCA
rnacentral:tRNA from 1 species